rnacentral:rRNA from 1 species
AAUGAACGCUGGCGGCAUGCCUAACACAUGCAAGUCGAACGAGACCUUCGGGUCCAGUGGCGCACGGGUGCGUAACGCGUGGGAACAUGCCCUCAGGUUCGGACUAACUCUCCGACAGGGGUGCUAACACCGGAUAAUGUCUUCGGCCCAAAGAUAUAUCGCCUUUGGAUGGGCCAGCGUUGGAUUAGCUAGUUGGUAGGGUAAAAGCUUACCAAGGCGACGAUUCAUAGCUGGUCUGAGAGAAAGAUUAGCCACACUGGGACUGGGACACGGCCCAGACUCCUACGGGAGGCAGCAGUGGGGGAUAGUGGACAGUGGGCGGAAGCCUGAUGCAGCAAUGCCGCGUGAGUGAUGAAGGCCUUAGGGAUGUAAAGCUCUAUUACCCGGGAUGAUAAUGACAGUACCGGAAGAAAAAGCUCCGGCUAACUCCGUG